UACGUAGGGACCAAGCGUUGUUCGGAUUUACUGGGCGUAAAGGGCGCGUAGGCGGCUUAACAAGUCACUUGUGAAAUCUCCGGGCUUAACUCGGAACGGCCAAGUGAAACUGUCAAGCUAGAGUGCAGAAGGGGCAAUCGGAAUUCUUGGUGUAGCGGUGAAAUGCGUAGAUAUCGAGAGGAACACCUGCGGCGAAGGCGGGUUGCUGGGCUGAUACUGACGCUGAGGCGCGAAAGCUAGGGGAGCGAACGGG
rnacentral:rRNA from 1 species